AGGACGAACGCUGGCGGCGUGCUUAACACAUGCAAGUCGAGCGGAAAGGCCCUUCGGGGUACUCGAGCGGCGAACGGGUGAGUAACACGUGAGCAACCUGCCCUUGGCUCUGGGAUAGCUCCGGGAAACCGGGAUUAAUACCGGACAUGACCUCCUCCUGCAUGGGUGGGGGUGGAAAGUUUUUCGGCCAGGGAGGGGCUCGCGGCCUAUCAGCUUGUUGGCAGGGUAAUGGCCUACCAAGGCGACGACGGGUAGCCGGCCUGAGAGGGCGACCGGCCACACUGGGACUGAGACACGGCCCAGACUCCUACGGGAGGCAGCAGUGGGGAAUAUUGCGCAAUGGGCGAAAGCCUGACGCAGCGACGCCGCGUGCGGGAUGAAGGCCUUCGGGUUGUAAACCGCUUUCAGCAGGGACGAAUUCAGACGGUACCUGCAGAAGAAGCGCCGGCUAACUACGUGCCAGCAGCCGC
rnacentral:rRNA from 1 species